AAUUUGAAAGCUGGCUCCGGCCCGCAUUGUAAUUUGCAGAGGAUGCUUCUGGUGAGGUGCCUUCCGAGUUCCCUGGAACGGGACGCCAUAGAGGGUGAGAGCCCCGUAUGGAUGGACACCAAACCUGUGUGAAGCUCCUUCAACGAGUCGAGUAGUUUGGGAAUGCUGCUCUAAAUGGGAGGUAAAUCUCUUCUAAAGCUAAAUACCGGCCAGAGACCGAUAGCGCACAAGUAGAGUGAUCGAAAGAUGAAAAGCACCUUGAAAAGGGGGUUAAACAGUACGUGAAAUUGUUGAAAGGGAAGCGCUUGUGACCAGACUUGCGCCGGGCAGCUCAUCAGGGGUUCUCCCCUGUGCACUCUGCCCGGCUCAGGCCAGCAUCGGUUCUCGUGGGAGGAUAAGAACGGUUGGAACGUGGCCCCCCUCCGGGGGGGUGUUAUAGCCUACCGUACGAUACUCCCGUGGGGACCGAGGUUCGCGCUCCGCAAGGAUGCUGGCGUAAUGGUCAUCAGCGACCCG
rnacentral:rRNA from 1 species